rnacentral:misc_RNA from 1 species
GAUGAAGAACGUAGCGAAAUGCGAUAAGUAAUGUGAAUUGCAGAAUUCAGUGAAUCAUCGAAUCUUUGAACGCACCUUGCGCUCCUUGGUAUUCCGAGGAGCAUGCCUGUUUGAGUCUCAUGGAAUUCUCAAGCUUACAGCUUUGUUACUGCAAGGCUUGGACUUGGAGGUCGUGUCGGCUCUCGCGAGUCGACUCCUCUGAAAUGCAUUAGUGCGGACGUUACCGGUCGCUUCAGCGUGAUAAUUAUCUGCGCUGCCGGCGACUGGUAUGUGAAGUACGCGCUUCUAACCGUCCUUCACGGGACAAUACAUUGAAACUCUGAGCUCAAAUCAGGUAGGACUACCCGCUGAACUUAAGCAUAUCAAUAAGCGGAGGA